UACGGAGGGUGCAAGCGUUAUCCGGAUUUAUUGGGUUUAAAGGGUCCGUAGGCGGAUCUGUAAGUCAGUGGUGAAAUCUCACAGCUUAACUGUGAAACUGCCAUUGAUACUGCAGGUCUUGAGUGUUAUUGAAGUAGCUGGAAUAAGUAGUGUAGCGGUGAAAUGCAUAGAUAUUACUUAGAACACCAAUUGCGAAGGCAGGUUACUAAGCAACAACUGACGCUGAUGGACGAAGCCUUGGGUAGCAAUAAGG
rnacentral:rRNA from 1 species